rnacentral:lncRNA from 1 species
AUUUUAAGUCAUAAAAAUAAAAUCAAUAAAAAAAGUGUGUUAAAAUGGACCAUUUAGAAUAAAUAAUUAAAAUAAAAUAUUAAUAUUAAACAAAAACGAAAAUAAAAAUUAUAUAAAAUUAAAUAAAACGUUAAGAAAAGUGAAAAAUAUUUUUGGGUAAUUUUAUGGACGAAGAAAUUAUUUUAAAUAAGAAAAAGAAAUAUGAAAAUGGAAGGAUUAAUGGUGAUGAACAUGG